ensembl:lncRNA
GGGGUGGGGUGUGGGGCCCCGGGCUCUGCGCCCCUGCGUGGGGCAGGAGCGGGAAACGGCCGGGCGCGGGGGUGCAGCCCGCCGGGGUGGGGGGAUGGAGGGCCCCCGCAGAGCCUGGCCCUUUAAGGGCCUCCGAGGAGCUAUAUAAUAAGGUCCACCUUGGAGGCCUGAGUGCCUUUCUGCAGCCCCAGGAGGGCGGGGAGGGUGCAGGAGGUCAUCGUGGGGCUGGAGCGGCUGGCCUUCGCCUUCGAGAAGGAGGUGGAGACGCAGAAGGGCACUGGGCUUCUGAUUUCCAGGCCAUGGACAGUCCACUGUGUUAAGUACCGACAUGUCCGCAGGACAAAGUGUACUAACUACUUAAAGCUGGCUUCUGCCCGGAAGGACCCAGGUACCAAUUUGCACACUUGUCAAGCAGCCCCUGGGGUCCGUACUUCCUCCUGCCUGGGAACACCGCGGGGCCCCCUCCCUGACAAGAGUGCCUGCCUCCUCAUCCUCAGACGAGGCCCCAUGAGCCGGGGGCCGCCCACUGCCUGGGGCUCAGGUGCUGGAGCAGGCCAUGCUACAGGGUGAGUGAUGAUGGAGCUGGGCUGCUGCCGGGCUGAGGACCAGGGGAGGGGUGAUUAGCAGCAGGUUAAGAAGCCAGACUCAGGUUUUGGUGAAUUAAGAGAGAAUGGGGCAAUUUGGCUGAUAAACCAAAUGUUCUGAUUGUAAGGUCUCAACCUUACUUUAUUUGCUUCCCCUGCCAGUUUCUUUCUUUAAAAGGCUAAGGAGUUAGACAUCUUCCAGGCCCUGUUUUGCUGCCCAGUGAUCCCUUGAGUUAUUUAUACAUAAUGGUCUUAAGAUGUGCUGGGGGGAGGGGGCAGCUUGGUAAGGAAGGGGAUGUCACGCAGCUUGCGUUUUUUAAAGAAUUAAUUUUAUUUUUGGCUGUGCUGGGUCUCCAGUUGCGGCCAGCGGGGGCUCUUCUCUAGCUGUGGAGCUCGGCCUUCUCGUCGCGGGGGCUCCUCUGGCUGUGGAGCUCGGCCUCCUCGUCACGGGGGCUCCUCUCUAGCUGCGGAGCUCGGCCUUCUUGUCGUGGGGGCUCCUCUGGCUGCGCUCAGCCUUCUCGUCGCGGGGGCUCCUCUGGCUGCGCUCAGCCUUCUCGUCGCGGGGGCUCCUCUGGCUGCGCUCAGCCUUCUCGUCGCGGGGGCUCCUCUGGCUGCGGAGCCUGGGCUCUGGGCCCGGGGGCUCAGUAGUUCCCCACACAGGCCUAGUUGCCCCACUGCCUGUGGGGUCUUCCUGGAUCCGGGAUUGAACUCGUGUCCCCCGCAUUGGCAGGCGGAUUCUCAACCACUGGACCACCAGGGAAGCCCACACUUUGCCUUUCCUGGUUGCUAUCUUUGGUUCAUCAGGAAGAAAACCAUCAUGUUUCACUCCUUCAAGAGACAGAAUGUAAAUUGUCCUCUGCAUUCUCUGUUUUGCAAGACGGCAGUAGUGCAGGGAUGAGAGGUGAGGGGGGCACAGGGCUCGCCCUCCUCAAACGAUGCUGUCCUCCUCUUUACGUGUCCAGCCCUGUUCUCUGGGUUAGCGAUGCUGGGUGUGGAUCUCAAGGCCUUUCUCAGGCCAAACAAGGAACUUCAUUUAAGAGUAGAAGCCAGGUUCCUCAGUAAGCCAGCUAACGGUCUCCUAUGCUGCCCAGGAGAAUUCGGCAUUUUUUUUCUCUUGGGAUGUGAAUUUACAAAAAGUCACACGGUUAACUUUUUCUCUUUUAGUGUUGAAAAAUGAGCUGUUAUGCCAGUAAGUGUCAACUGGUAGGAUUCAUUAAAACACAAGACCCCACGUUGGUCUGGGGAACUGGAGGACCUUCUGUAGUGAAGAUGCUGGAAGGCCGUGCUGCCCGCUAACCAGCACAGAGGAGGCCGAAGCAGCCUGCUUCCCGCUUCCUCUUCUCCUCUAAGUGAGCGAGCUGCUGAAGACACAGCAGGAGUGGGGGCUCACUGUCCGUGGCAGCAACGAGUUAGUCGUAGAGCAGGGAAGUGCAAUGCCCGCACGGCCAGCUUGAGGGUGCAGCCUGCUCGGCUCCCCAUGGCCGCAUGCACACAGGCACGCCGCUCCCGGGCACUUGCGCUGCACCCAGCCUGAGCUACUGCUGUAAACUGGCGAUUAAAUCAAGUUUCUUUUGCACGACAGCUGCUUCCCUGGACGGCUUCCUUAAAUUCAGGAUUUGAUACUGUGCUCGUCUUACGUGAGGGAUCACGGGGGCAGGGAGGGGAGGUAGACGGUACCAACGAGGCUUGGCCCAGGAGGUGAGGAAGUGACGUGGGGCAGCGAGCACCAUGUGAUCUACAUCAUCGUCUAAGUCAGCCACCUGGGCAGCCUAACCCAUGGGGCGAGGCUGGGGGAGGCCAGGCCAGGCCCGCUGGAGGAAGAGAAGAGGGAUGGUGUGGAGGGACCAGGCCCGCCGGUCUUGCAGACACAGGCAGCGGCCUUAUCCCGCUUGGUGGAAGGGGAGAGGGCGGGGGGCAAGACC